AGUGACGAAAGCGUCUGCAAAGCAGAAGGCUGUGAGUUCACCCUAUCCUCUAGUCAUGGAAUGAGCAUGGAGAGUUUCACCCUUUAAUCCAAGAGCCUCAGCUGGAUGAGGACUUUCACCAGGAGUACUUUCGGGUCAGGGAACAGGUCCUGCAGAACAGCUAGCAAUACGUUUACACAGAUAUCAUUUUACAUCAGAUAUGUUACUCCUGAUGGAUGUUACCAGCUGUCUGUAGCAACGAAGACAUCAAGAAGGUGUACUCUACAAUGUGAACUCCUGGUUUCCCUGGGAAGACGUGAAAAUGCUGGUGGAAUACAAUGCCUGUUGCCUGGCAGGGAUUUUGAGCAAACAAGGCUAUCACACCAUUUUGCUAUCACACCAUUUUGCUAUCACAACAUUCUGCCAUGCCAAACCCUGUGGAUGGCGCUUGACUGGAGCCAAUUUCCUCCUGCAACAGGACAACGACCCAAAGCACAUCUCCAACCUAUGCAAGAAGCAGUCAGCUGGUAUUCUCUCUGUAAUGGACUGGCCUGCGCAGUCACCAGAUCUCAACCCUUUUGAGCCGUUGUGGGAGCCUCUAUGGUUCGUGAAAAACUACCCAUCAAGCCAAGCCAACUUGUGGGAAGUGCUUCAGGACGCAUGGGGUGAAAUUUCCUCAGAUUACAGCUAGAAUGCCAAAGGUCUGCAAGGUGUUGAGUGCUGCAAAGGGCAGAUUCUUUGACGAAAGCAAAAUUUGAAGGACAAAUUUUUUUACUCAUUAUUUCGAACCUUGUCAAUAUAUUGACUGCAUUUUCAGUGCAUUUUACAGCCCAUAUGAUGAAUAAAGGUAUGAGUUUCCAUGGAAAAUGUGAA